rnacentral:rRNA from 1 species
UACAGAGGUCUCAAGCGUUGUUCGGAUUCAUUGGCGUAAAGGGUGCGUAGGUGGCGCGGUAAGUCGGGUGUGAAAUCUCGGAGCUUAACUCCGAAAUUGCAUUCGAUACUGCCGUGCUCGAGGACUGGAGAGGAGACUGGAAUUCAUGGUGUAGCAGUGAAAUGCGUAGAGAUCAUGAGGAAGACCAGUGGCGAAGGCGGGUCUCUGGACAGUUCCUGACACUGAGGCACGAAGGCCAGGGGAGCAAACGGG